GUGCCACCGCGGUAAUACAGAGGUCUCAAGCGUUGUUCGGAUUCAUUGGGCGUAAAGGGUGCGUAGGCGGCGUGGUAAGUCGGAUGUGAAAUCCCGGAGCUUAACUCCGAAACUGCAUUCGAUACUGCCGUGCUUGAGGACUGGAGAGGAGACUGGAAUUUACGGUGUAGCGGUGAAAUGCGUAGAUAUCGUAAGGAAGACCAGUGGCGAAGGCGGGUCUCUGGACAGUUCCUGACGCUGAGGCACGAAGGUCAGGGGAGCAAACGGG
rnacentral:rRNA from 1 species